AUACGUGGUAACACUUUAUUACGUAACAACAUAGUAUCCUGCAUCAGGUAUAGAGAAACCUAUUCUCCUAAACUACUUAGAUCAUUUACUAGCCUUUCUUCCUGUAUUACAAAGUCACUUUUUUUUGGAAUCACAAACCAUCUAUCUGUCUCUAACACCCAAAUUGUUUGUUUUCCAACAGAGAAUCUGUUUGCUUGGGUUGUUGUAUUUAUUGUGCCAAUUAACAGUGCCCUGAACCCAGUUCUUUACACCUUCGGGUACCGUAUCCGGGAGAUAAAGGGACUAACACAGGGUUUGCUGGAGUGGUGUUGCAAACCUACAGAACAGGUGUGGAAAACAGGACAUGAGUCAUCAGCCGGUAUAGAGUGCGGAUCUGUCAGUGAUGAUGGCAUUCUACUGCACUCGUCGGUCAUCAUUGAUCUCAACAAGAGUAUGCAUGAGGAGGACCACCCAUUAAGACAAGAAACAAAACUUUAGUAACUACACCUGUAGCAUAUUACCUGGAUCGACUUCUAAGUAUCAGGGUAUCUUUCACCUAACCUGUUAUCUUCUAUCCACAUUACAGUUUUUUAGUCGAUAGAAAAAAACAAUUCUUUAAGAGAAGUAGACCAGUGAAAUGAAGAGAAUGGUAUUAAAAAAACACUAUGAUUCAAGCAAGGUGCUAGAAAUAUCACAAACCUACUGGGAAUACGAUGACUUGGGAUAUAACAGUGGUAGAGACAUGGUAACCUGUUGGUGAAUGUCAUUGUUUGGGAUAUAAUAGUGGUAGAGACAUGGUAACCUGUUGGUGAAUGUCAUUGUUUGGGAUAUAAUAGUGGUAGACUCAUGGUAACCUGUUGGUGAAUGUCGUUGUUUGGGAUAUAAUACUGGCAGAGACAUGGUAACCUGUUGUUGAAAGUCAUGGUUUGGGAUAUAACAGUGGUAGAGACAUGGUAACCUGUUGCUGAAUGUCGAUGUUUGGGAUAUAAUAGUGGUAGAGACAUGGUAACCUGUUGGUGAAUGUCGUUGUUUGGGAUAUAACAGUGGUAGAGACACGGGAACCUGUUGGUGAAUGUCAUUGUUUGGAAUAUAAUAGUGGUAGAGACAUGGUAACCUGUUGGUGAAUGUCAUUGUUUGGAAUAUAAUAGUGGUAGAGACAUGGUAACCUGUUGGUGAAUGUCGAUGUUUGGGAUAUAACAGUGGUAGAGACAUGGUAACCUGUUGUUGAAUGUUGUUGUGUGGGAUAUAACAGUGGUAGAGACAUGGUAACCUGUUGGUGAAUGUUAUUGUUUGGGAUAUAACAGUGGUAGAGACAUGGUAACCUGUUGCUAAAUGUCUAUGUUUGGGACAUAACAGUGGUAGAGACAUGAUAUUCUGUUGGUGAAUGUUGAUGUUUGGGAUAUAACAGUGGUAUAGACAUGGUAACCUGUUGGUGAAUGUUGAUGUUUGGGAUAUAAUAGUGGCAAAGACAUGGUAACCUGUUACUGAAUGUCAUUGUUUGGGAUAUAACAGUGGUAGAAACAUGGUAACCUGUUGGUGAAUGUGUAUGGGAUGUAACAGUGGUAGAGACAUGGUAACCUGUUGCUGAAUGUUGAUGUUUGGGAUAUAACAGUGGUAGAGACAUGGUAACCUGUUGGUGAAUGUCGAUGUUUUUAAUACAUUUGAUGUGUAAUAUUUGUUAUUAGUUACAUAUAUGUACUAACUAAAGAAUGUAUUGAUUAAGUAACAAAUCAAUUAACUAGAAAAAAGAAAUACGGUAUACACGGUCAUGAUGUUAGAAAAAUACUUAGGUUCAAGAAGUCUUAUUGUAAAACGAUAAAAAACCUAUAACCCGAGUGCUUUCGAAAGGUGGUAUAGAGAGUAACACUGAAAAUAUAAACGUAAGCAUUUUGUUUUAUUAAACUAUCGUACUCGAAACAAUCUAAUAACAAUGAGAAAACACUUUUGUUUGAUUGCUGGACUUUAAUCAGAACGAACCCUCUAAGUGGAGAUACUUGUUUGACUGCUGGACUUUAAUCAGGAUGGACCCUCUAAGUAGAGAUACUUGUUUGACUGCUGGACUUUGAUCAGAACGGACCCUCUAAGUAGAGAUACUUGUUUGACUGCUGGACUUUGAUCAGAACAGACCCUCUAAGUAGAGAUACUUGUUUGACUGCUGGACUUUGAUCAGAACGGACCCUCUAAGUAUAGAUACUUGUUUGACUGCUGGACUUUGAUCAGAACGGACCCUCUAAGUGGAGAUACUUGUUUGACUGCUGGACUUUAAUCAGGACGGACCCUCUAAGUAGAGAUACUUGUUUGACUGCUGGACUUUAAUCAGAACGGACCCUCUAAGUAGAGAUACUUGUUUGACUGCUGGACUUUAAUCAGAACGGACCCUCUAAGUAGAGAUACUUGUUUGACUGCUGGACUUUAAUCAGAAUGGUUUAUUUGUUUGUUGUUAAGCGAUAAGCUACAUAAUGGGCUAUGUGUGCUUUCCCAAUGCAGGCAGGUAUCAAAAUCCUAGUUGAGGCAUCAAACUUACCAUUAAGCCACCGAGAAAUAAUCAAACAAACCUUCCAUGUUUGUUUAUUUACUAGACUUUACAAUAUUUCUAUCACCUGACAUAAAGUUCAAAUUCUCCGUAUUAGUUUAAUCUAAUGUUUUACAUUUUAAAAUUUUGUGUUAAAAUUGUUUUAAGAAUGUUUCAUUUUAAACUUUCCUCACUAAUUUAUUAUUUUUAUUAAAAUGAUUCUGAUUUUACUGUGCUGCUAUCUAGUGAUGUUAACAGGUACUACAAGUGCGUUAUUCAGAAUUACUGUAUUUAAUUUAGUGUCUCCCAUGAUUGUAUUAUCAUAUUUCAAUGUAUAAAAUAAGUUUAAUUAAAUGUUUGAAUUAUGA
rnacentral:lncRNA from 1 species